GCAUGAAAGACUGGGACGAGUGAACUCUGGAGAAACAUUACAGUGUUAAGAAUAGUGUGCUUUAUUAUAUAGUAGAGAGUGAGAUACUGAGAAAUACACAGUGACAUAUUUUCCAUAUCUUCACUAGUGAAGAUAUCGAUCACGUGACUUUUAGUAUUUAUACAAUUUUUUGCUUGGGACUAUAUAAUAAACAGAACAUUACACGUU
rnacentral:lncRNA from 1 species